UGGGGAAUAUUGGACAAUGGGGGCAACCCUGAUCCAGCAAUGCCGCGUGUGUGAAGAAGGCCUUCGGGUUGUAAAGCACUUUUAUCCGGAACGAAACGCGCAGGGUGAAUAUCCUUGCGAACUGACGGUACCGGAGGAAUAAGCACCGGCUAACUUCGUGCCAGCAGCCGCGGUAAUACGAAGGGUGCAAGCGUUACUCGGAAUUACUGGGCGUAAAGGGUGCGUAGGUGGUUGUUUAAGUCUGCUGUGAAAUCCCCGGGCUCAACCUGGGAAUGGCAGUGGAUACUGGAUAGCUAGAGUGCGGUAGAGGGUAGUGGAAUUCCCGGUGUAGCAGUGAAAUGCGUAGAGAUCGGGAGGAACACCAGUGGCGAAGGCGGCUACCUGGACCAGCACUGACACUGAAGCACGAAAGCGUGGGGAGCAAACA
rnacentral:rRNA from 1 species